GUCAACUCGGAGGAAGGUGGGGAUGACGUCAAAUCAUCAUGCCCCUUAUGUCUUGGGCUUCACGCAUGCUACAAUGGCUGGUACAGAGAGUGGCGAGCCUGUGAGGGUGAGCGAAUCUCGGAAAGCCGGUCUCAGUUCGGAUUGGGGUCUGCAACUCGACCCCAUGAAGUCGGAGUCGCUAGUAAUCGCAGAUCAGCAACGCUGCGGUGAAUACGUUCCCGGGCCUUGUACACACCGCCCGUCACACCAUGGGAGUGGGUUGCAAAAGAAGUGG
rnacentral:rRNA from 14 species